rnacentral:rRNA from 1 species
GAUGAACGCUAGCUACAGGCUUAACACAUGCAAGUCGCAGGGUAACAUGAGGAAAGCUUGCUUUCCUUGAUGACGACUGGCGCACGGGUGAGUAACGCGUAUCCAACCUUCCCAUAACUACGGGAUAACCCGUUGAAAGACGGCCUAAUACCGUAUGACAUCGUUUGCUGACAUCAAAUAACGAUUAAAGGUUUAGCGGUUAUGGAUGGGGAUGCGUCUGAUUAGCUUGUUGGCGGGGUAACAGCCCACCAAGGCGACGAUCAGUAGGGGUUCUGAGAGGAAGGUCCCCCACAUUGGAACUGAGACACGGUCCAAACUCCUACGGGAGGCAGCAGUGAGGAAUAUUGGUCAAUGGGCGAGAGCCUGAACCAGCCAAGUAGCGUGCAGGAUGACGGCCCUAUGGGUUGUAAACUGCUUUUAUGUGGGGAUAAAGUGCGUGACGUGUCAUGCAUUGCAGGUACCACAUGAAUAAGGACCGGCUAAUUCCGUG